CCACUCUCACUUUGCCUCUGGGAUUCCCAUCACACUCCACUUAUGGUGACACACAGUAGCUGCUCUGGAGCCAAAUGUAGUGUAGAAGUCAAAUCAGAAUACAGGCUAAAAAUAUCCCGAAGGGCAGCAAAGUAACUUGGUGCGGAUAUUAAUAUUUUUUAAUAUUUUCAGUGCUGCAUAUGCCCUCCCCUGACUCGCACUCAACCCCUAAAAUAGUUGUCAGGAAAUCGUUUUAACACCCCUGUUGAUAAAACAAAGUCUAAUAAAAAUGCAUUUGAAAUUAUCCUUAAAGGGUAAUUUUGUUUUUCUCAACCAGGACCCUAUUUUCCCCAUGCAUUAGUGUCUUAAGUGACUAAUGUGUACAAAAAUCUUUGAAAUUGGUCCAGCAUUGAGUGAGAAAGCUGUAACCAUCAGCAGCUAACCAGGCUGUAAUGUAAUCCUGUAGACAAAUGUGCAUUGUCAAUUUUGUACACUAAAAGUGGUGUUUUUGCUAGUGACAUUCUCAAAUUGUUAUUAUAAGUGCCUAACAACAUGAUUUAAAGGAUUCCAACAGUGUUCGAUCUUUAUGUUAAAGUAUAAGAUCCCUUUUGUUUAACCAGAAACGGCUCCGAGAGCACUAUCGCUAAACCCACCAGACUCUGUUUCAAUAAACAAUACUUUUAGCCUGUAUAGAGCCAGCAUAUUUCCACAUCUAAUUCGGUAAGUUAUGCGUUUAUUUCAACCAAACCAGAGUGGUGAUUGUUGGAACAGUGGAAAGACGAACCAAGACGGCUUUUGAUGUUUUUUGUUUAUUUCUGUCGACUUUGACUUUGAAUAAAGUGUGUUUUACGAUGAUACAAUUACUGUUUACUUAAAUGGAGCACAAUGGGUUUGGCAAUAGCAAUUUGGGGGAUGUUUUUAAUGUUAAAAAAAAAGAUCUUCCUCUUUUUAAAAAAAAAAAAAAAAAAAAAAAGUCAAUCUCUGUAAGGAUCCUUUCCAUAAUGUUGUCAUACACUUGGAACAAUAAUCUGAGCAUGUCCAUGGCAAAACGAGCACUUUUGUGGAUGUAAAUUGAAACUUGUUUCGCUUCUGCCGACUGCAGCGAUCUUGCUUAAUACUGGACCAAUUUCAGAGAUUGUUGUCAGUCAAUUAGACACAAAAACUUGGGAAAUUGGUUCCAGGUUGAAAAAAAACAAAAAACGAAGUGACCCUUAAAUACAGUAGAAUAAAGUAGGUUUUAACAUUGACAUCUGGAAAAGGAAGCCUCAUAACUUCUGUUGAGGCCCUCUUUGUGAUCCAUGCAGUCCUGAAUAGAACCAUCGAUUUACACUUUCCAGCACACAAAGAAGCGUGUUCUACUGCCUGCUUGCAUCACAGUGGUAGUUACAAACACAAAUUCACCUUUUUCCACUGCAGCGCUUAUGUAAUGAGCUAAGGGGAAAUUUGGAGGGAAAUGUCUUUGUCACCACAUUGAGCCAUACAAUUAUUAUAAUAAUAAUAAUAAUAAUAAUAAUAAUAAUACAUUUGUUGUAUAUAGCGCUUUAAAAAGGUACUCAAAGGCACUUUACAAGGUAA